rnacentral:rRNA from 1 species
UACGAAGGGGGCUAGCGUUGCUCGGAAUCAACUGGGGCGUAAAAGGGUGCGUAGGCGGGGUCUUUAAGUUCAGGGGGUGAAAGUCCUGGAAGCCUCGAACUUACCCAGAACGUAGCCUUUGAUACAUGAGGAGUCUUGAAGUCCGGGGAGAGGUGGAAGUGGGGGAAACUUGCGAGUGUAGAGGGUGAAAAAUUUCGUAGAUAUUCGCAAGAACACCGAAGUGGC